AGAGAGAGCGAGAGAUGGCUGGCCCAAAUCUUCCCCGGGAAACUGAAGAGGAGACUUGAGAAGCCAAGGCCGCUCGGAAGAAGCCCAGGUGAAGGCGAGCGCGAGCCCAGGGAGCCCAAUUCACAAAUGGGCGAGCCGUAUGCAAAUAGGGUCGCUCCAGCGGGCCAAUCAGCGCCGCCGAAACACCCUGCAGAGGGACUGGCUGGUUCCCGGGGAAAAAAAGAGGAGGGGCCGAAAGGGGAACCAAAGACACCCCCCCCUCCAUUCAGAGGUAGCGUCUAUCUUCACCAAGCCUCGCCCUCCUCCACACCUGGCUGGCCCUGGCCACGCUCUGCUUGGGCUCAGAGAUACGGAGAACGGCAGGACAGGAUGGAAAACUGUGAAGACACCUUUUCCCCACUGAAGCACAUAUAAGAAAACAAACUGAUCUACCACCCUGGAAACCCCAUGGGGCAUUUUGGCUGCAUUCCAGUCCCAUCACAACCCCUCUGUGAAGAACUCUCUGUAAUGUAAUUACAGUUUUAUGGUUGCCAGCCCCAAAGGGAAAGAAACAUCUUUAUUUCAGAGAGACAUCGUGGUAUAAUAGUUUGAAUAAUUUGGAUGCUGGACUAAGACUUUGGGUAUGAGUUUACGAAGGCAAGAAAUACCAGACUCACUCUAAAUUGACUUCUAGCUGUCUCCACAACACUCAACCAAUUCCACAGGGCUCCUGUGCAACAACAGCUGUUUGUCAGAUUUCUGCAACACAACUCUGGAAUAAGUAACACCUGCUAAAGUCAGCAUGUUGCAACUGGUAUGUUGGCUGCCAGAUGUCACAGUAACCAAAAUGUGGAAAUGGAGGUGAGAUUAAAGGGAGAGAAUUGGUAUACUAAUGGAUGAUCUGCCACAGUGGUACAGUAAUGCUGCACCCUCAUCCAAUAGCAGGGAGCAUUCCCCUUCAUUGGGGGUUCUUUUUGUUUCAGCAUUAACUCAGAAGUAGACCAAAAUUGUAAUCCUUUUAGUAUGCUUCAUUUGGACAGCAAUUUCCCAAAAGUCUUCCAUUUGGUAUCUACAGUUUUAUAUUUAUACAUUGAUCUGGGACAAAUGGUAUGAUUUGCCUUCCCCUUUGCUUCCAAAGCCUUCACAGCCAAAGCUUAAGACUGCAGUGGUAGUUUUUAACAUCUGGAUCCAUCCCUGUUUUUGUCUUCAGAAAGUACAGUGUGUGUGUAAAUGUGUUGUUGCUGAUAUAGAUACAUGGAUUUUUUUUCUCAAGAAAGAAAAGAAAAAAAGGGAAAAAGAAAAAUAAGUCUUCCUUGCUAAAAAAAAAACCUUGUCUUUGGCUAUUCACUCGGAACAUCUCAUAUACUGUGAAAAUCAGCCACAAUAAGAUAAACACAGGAUGCGAGGGGGAAAAUAGGAAAAAGGAAAGGGAGGAAGAAAAUGAACUUCAGGCCAGACAACAAAUUACUUAAAUUCUGAGAACCUGUGAAAACUGUCAAGUAGAACAAAGGGCUUAUAAUAAUACCUCUCCUCUGAUGUUUUGUAAAAUAAUAAGUAAAACAUUGAUUGUGCCUUGACAGAAAUACAGUGUUGGCAAGUGAAACAAUGCUCUGGAGACUCUUCAAUGCUCUAAGGAAAGUUUGCCACACAAUAGAUUUAGAGUAGGCAUGCAUAUGCACCCACCCGCCCUUGCUCAUACAUCCAUGCAUGUACAUAAUGUCCUGCUUUCCUUGGUGCUUAUUUCUGCCUCCGUCAACUGGGGAUGUUGACAAAAGCAAACAAGAAAGGCAAGAAGAAAGCAAGCUCAGCUGCAGCCAGCUUGGAAAGUCUCUGAUUUGAUGCCAAUCCCUUUGAACUUGAGAUCUGUUGUGAAAAAUAAAGGCCUUUGCACUGAGCAUAGCUCACUUCAUUUCUGCUUUUACUUUUAAUGAGUGUUACAUAUAUAUUCAAAUAAAUGACACCUUCCAGAUCCA